CCUACGGGGCGCAGCAGUGAGGAAUAUUGGUCAAUGGCCGCAGGGCUGAACCAGCCAAGUCGCGUGAGGGAUGACGGUCCUAUGGAUUGUAAACCUCUUUUGUCAGGGAGCAAAGGGCGCCACGUGUGGCGCUUUGCGAGUACCUGAAGAAAAAGCAUCGGCUAACUCCGUGCCAGCAGCCGCGGUAAUACGGAGGAUGCGAGCGUUAUCCGGAUUUAUUGGGUUUAAAGGGUGCGCAGGCGGAAUGUCAAGUCAGCGGUAAAAUUUCGGGGCUCAACCCUGUCGUGCCGUUGAAACUGGCGUUCUUGAGUGAGCGAGAAGUAUGCGGAAUGCGUGGUGUAGCGGUGAAAUGCAUAGAUAUCACGCAGAACUCCGAUUGCGAAGGCAGCAUACCGGCGCUCAACUGACGCUCAUGCACGAAAGCGUGGGUAUCGAACAGGAUUAGAUACCCCUGUAGUC
rnacentral:rRNA from 1 species